GUGAAUCAUCGAAUCUUUGAACGCACAUUGCGCCUUCUGGUAUUCCGGUAGGCAUGCCUGUCUGAGCGUCAGCAAAACACCCCUCAGCCUGAGUAUUUUUGUACUUAACGCUGGUUUUGGGCAGUGGGAUGCCGGUGGGAGUUUAAUUCUUUUCCUGCCUGCGCCCUUCCUAAACUUGCUGUACGACCGAAAGCACCUUCUAGCCAGGUCAAUGGAGUGGUGUUACAAUCUUCCAGAAAAGCCUGCUGGACAACUGCUUCACGGCGUUAAACCAGAGAGCCUCCCUCCCUCCGGGGAGGC
rnacentral:misc_RNA from 1 species